rnacentral:rRNA from 1 species
AGCAGCCGCGGUAAUUCCAGCUCCAAUAGCGUAUAUUAAAGUUGUUGCAGUUAAAAAGCUCGUAGUUGAAUUUCGGGAUCAAUAUGUCGGUCGUGCCUUGGUACGUACUGGUAUCAUUGGUCUCUCCUUUCUGACGAACCAUGAUGUCAUUAAUUUGGUGUUAUGGGAAGUUAGGACUGUUACUUUGAAAAAAUUAGAGUGUUUAAAGCAGGCUUUAGCUUGAAUACAUUAGCAUGGAAUAAUGAAAUAGGACGUUCGAACCUAUUUUGUUGGUUUCUAGGAUCAACGUAAUGAUUAAUAGGGAUAGUUGGGGGCAUUAGUAUUCAAUUGUCAGAGGUGAAAUUCUUGGAUUUAUUGAAGACUAACUACUGCGAAAGCAUUUGCCAAGGAUGUUUUCAUUAAUCAAGAACGAAAGUUAGGGGAUCGAAGACGAUCAGAUACCGUCGUAGUCUUAACCAUAAACUAUGCCGA